rnacentral:siRNA from 1 species
CUAGUCCAAAUAUCUCUACUAGA